UAGAGAUCAGAUGUGAUGUUGUUUUCCCAUUCUUUUUUUCUAGAGAGUGCAGAGUUUUUAUGUUCAUCCAUUAAUGAGGCUAGCAAGGCCUUCAUACAACUUCAGCCAAUUGCAACAAAUGUGGUGGAAGUUCUUCUCUGGACAGAAUCCUCAAAAUCCUUUCCUUUAUUUCCUGGCCAUGGGAAACAUGCAACAGAUCUCUCAAUCUUUUUUCUCAAUCAGUCUCUCUGAAUACGGAAGUAUUCCAAGAUUUCGCAGCACGCACCGCCUACUUUAGGCUUCAAAAAUGCUCUUCACAAACCAGUGGGUGACGUCACGGACACUACUUUCAUAUUUUUUUUACAGUCUAUGGUGUAAAGGCAUUUUACGUGCUUGAAAAUAAAUACCACAGGCAAUGUGCAUCUACUGUAGUCUGUCAUUUUCCAAAUGGAUAAAUCCUCUGCUGUUCGGUUCCUUUGUACAUCUUUGUUCGUGAGGAGUAACUUUAAUAAAUGAAGUAUUUUUAGUCAAAUACAUUCCAUACUCUGAAACUUGGAACAUCUGGUCUAUAAAAAACUUUACACAUCUGUAAAUGAUUUUACUUUUAAUUUAACAAUUACAUUGUUUAUUUUCUUACACUGCUGCAGAUUUGUUUAUGUACAUUUCAGUAUUUCAUUUAUAUAUUGUAUAUACUUAUAUACAAAUUCUGUCUUAAAUUCAAACAAAUUGAUUUAACCUGUUACAUUGUUACUUCAAUGUGCAUAAUUUCUGAUAUUUAAUAAAUAUAUUUAUACUUGA